ACCGUGUGAGGAGUGAUGGCGGUAUUUGCCACCUGGUAAGGUUCACACAAUUCCUGGAUUUUGUAACCCCUAUAUUUAUUCAAAUAACCAUGCAUCCUCUG